rnacentral:rRNA from 1 species
AUUGAACGCUGGCGGCAGGCCUAACACAUGCAAGUCGGGCGAGGGGCGGACGGGUGAGUAAUGUAUGGGGAUCUGCCUGAUGGAUGGGUAUAACUACUGGAAACGGGAGAUAAUACCGCAUACCAUCAGAGGAACCCAUAUGGUAGUAUCUUGGAGGUAAGGUAACGGCUUACCUAGGCGACGUUCCCUAGCUGGUCUGAGAGGAUGACCAGCCACACUGUGACGUCGACACGGGCCAGACUCCUACGGGAGGCAGCAGUGGGGAAUAUUGCACAAUGGGCGCAAGCCUGAUGCAGCCAUGCCGCGUGUAUGAAGAAGGCCUUCGGGUUUUAAAGUACUUUCAGUGUGGAGGCGUUACCGACAGAAGAAGCACCGGCUAACUCCGUGCCAGCCGCCGCGGUAAUAC